CUCCCGUAGAGAACUCUGGGCCUGCUAGUCAGGACGCAGUGGCCCCUGUUGUUCCCGAUCGCAGGACUCCCUCUCCAGGCCCUGAGGAGAACACAGGGGAAGCUGACCAAUCAAGUCACUCUGUGCAGAGGGAAACUCCACCUAGUACCAAGGCUGGUCGGAACACUCCCUCCGUGCCAUUGGACAAGAGCUUGGCUGAGGCUGACUCGCAGGAGAGGCCUGUGUCUUCAGAGAGGAGGAGAGAGUGAACUGGACAACACGGCUCCUCACCAGGGCCUGGUACUGGAAACAGCUUUUACCAUUCAUGGCAAUUCAGUGGUUGGAUUAACAAUGGGAGGCCAUGCUUCACAGAAUGUGUGUUGUAUUAUGAAGGGUGAAAUACACUAGCACUUUUAAACACUCUCAUCACACCUCAAAUGUAUGACUUAAUAGUAAAGUAAAUGACAAAUAAAACACAAUUUCUAGCAAUAAUGCAUCAGGAUGGUUGAUUGUCCUCUGAAUGUACAGUACAACAUGGUACUGACUCUCCUGUACUGAAGGAACUGUUCUCUUCAGAUGUUAGAGAAGGGAGAUACUGAAUGGCUUGGCUUUUGGUUUAAAACUACAAUGUAAGAAUUUCACUGAUGUGUUUGAACCAUUAUACAUUACAUGACAUACAUGUGUGUCCCCUGUACAGUGCACCAAACUACAGUUUAGCAGAUAUUAAAGUACCAUUUAGAGUAAAUGUUGGAAAUGUUUUGUAGAA